UCCCAUCAUGUUAUAAUACUGCUGGAGAGGAGACAGAGGUCCCAUCAUGUUAUAAUACUGCUGAAUGGAGAGGAGACAGAGGUCCCAUCAUGUUAUAAUACUGCUGAAUGGAGAGGAGACAGAGGUCCCAUCAUGUUAUAAUACUGCUGAAUGGAGAGGAGACAGAGGUCCCAUCAUGUUAUAAUACUGCUGAAUGGAGAGGAGACAGAGGUCCCAUCAUGUUAUAAUACUGCUGAAUGGAGAGGAGACAGAGGUCCCAUCAUGUUAUAAUACUGCUGAAUGGAGAGGAGACAGAGGUCCCAUCAUGUUAUAAUACUGCUGAAUGGAGAGGAGGCAGAGGUCCCAUCAUGUUAUAAUACUGCUGAAUGGAGAGGAGACAGAGGUCCCAUCAUGUUAUAAUACUGCUGAAUGGAGAGGAGACAGAGGUCCCAUCAUGUUAUAAUACUGCUGAAUGGAGAGGAGACAGAGGUCCCAUCAUGUUAUAAUACUGCUGAAUGGAGAGGAGACAGAGGUCCCAUCAUGUUAUAAUACUGCUGAAUGGAGAGGAGACAGAGGUCCCAUCAUGUUAUAAUACUGCUGAAUGGAGAGGAGACAGAGGUCCCAUCAUGUUAUAAUACUGCUGAAUGGAGAGGAGACAGAGGUCCCAUCAUGUUAUAAUACUGCUGAAUGGAGAGGAGACAGAGGUCCCAUCAUGUUAUAAUACUGCUGAAUGGAGAGGAGACAGAGGUCCCAUCAUGUUAUAAUACUGCUGGAGAGGAGACAGAGGUCCCAUCAUGUUAUAAUACUGCUGAAUGGAGAGGAGACAGAGGUCCCAUCAUGUUAUAAUACUGCUGAAUGGAGAGGAGACAGAGGUCCCAUCAUGUUAUAAUACUGCUGAAUGGAGAGGAGACAGAGGUCCCAUCAUGUUAUAAUACUGCUGAAUGGAGAGGAGACAGAGGUACCAUCAUGUUAUAAUACUGCUGGAGAGGAGACAGAGGUCCCAUCAUGUUAUAAUACUGCUGAAUGGAGAGGAGACAGAGGUACCAUCAUGUUAUAAUACUGCUGAAUGGAGAGGAGACAGAGGUACCAUCAUGUUAUAAUACUGCUGAAUGGAGAGGAGACAGAGGUCCCAUCAUGUUAUAAUACUGCUGAAUGGAGAGGAGACAGAGGUCCCAUCAUGUUAUAAUACUGCUGAAUGGAGAGGAGACAGAGGUCCCAUCAUGUUAUAAUACUGCUGAAUGGAGAGGAGACAGAGGUCCCAUCAUGUUAUAAUACUGCUGAAUGGAGAGGAGACAGAGGUACCAUCAUGUUAUAAUACUGCUGAAUGGAGAGGAGACAGAGGUCCCAUCAUGUUAUAAUACUGCUGAAUGGAGAGGAGACAGAGGUCCCAUCAUGUUAUAAUACUGCUGAAUGGAGAGGAGACAGAGGUCCCAUCAUGUUAUAAUAG